rnacentral:rRNA from 1 species
UACGGAGGGUGCGAGCGUUGUCCGGAAUCAUUGGGCGUAAAGGGCGCGUAGGUGGCCCGGUCAGUUCGUGGUGAAAGCGCGGGGCUCAACCCUGCGUCGGCCAUGAAUACUGCCGCGGCUGGAGCACUGUAGAGGCAGGCGGAAUUCCGGGUGUAGCGGUGGAAUGCGUAGAGAUCCGGAAGAACACCGGUGGCGAAGGCGGCCUGCUGGGCAGUUGCUGACACUGGAGGCGCGACAGCGUGGGGAGCAAACAGG